GAAUAACACUCAGAAAGUCAGAGAGGGGUAUUCUGAAAGUUUAGAAAUGCCAACAGCUUCAACAAGUAUGAACAAAUAAGUAAAAUUGAAGUAAGGAUUAUUUUAGCAUAUCCAAUGUUAACAUCCUUCUACUAUAGCGAAAAUACUAAAGGAUAUGGUCUGCAAGGAAUAUCUGGUAUUUGAAUGUUCUGGUAUCUGUUCAUGAAAAACUACAAAUCAGAGUAUGGUUUUUUUUAUAUAAUGUUAAAAUCAUAAUACUUCAGCUUUGGUUUGUCAGAUCUUGUGAUUUGUGAUUUGAUCAUUUGCACCUAAUCAAAAAUUAUCCUUCACAAGCCCACUCCCAAAAUAAAAUGUAUCUUGAACAUAUUUGGUGGAGUUGAAAUAUUAACAUUAAAAAAAUCGAAAUUUAUGUGUUUUUGAAAUUUUUGUAAUGAGCCAACUUUUAAUAUAGCCAAUCAUUCAAUUCCUUCCGAGCCCAGGUAUAUGGUCCAUCCUUCUAAGUCCUUCAGAGCCCAGGGAUAUGGUCCAUCCUUCUAAGUCCUUCAGAGCCCAGGGAUAUGGUCCAUCCUUCUAAGUCCUUAAGAGCCCAGGGAUAUUGUCCAAUCCUUCUAAGUCCUUCAGAGUCAGGAAUAUGGUCCCAUCCUUCUAAGUCAAUACAGAGCCCAGGGAUAUGGUCCAUCCUUCUAAGUCAAUACAGAGCCCAGGGAUAUGGUCCAUCCUUCUAAGUCAAUACAGAGCCCAAGGAACACCUUUUAAAGCAAUUUUGCUGACAUCAGCAAAUUUUUCAUUUAAAGAAUGAGAAAUCAAUUUUAAUAAUACAUUAUUAAUAUACCAAUACAAUCUCAUAUUACUUUUUCAUUAUUGAUACUUCACGUAUUUGCCAUCAAGUAUAAAAUAAAUCAUUUAUUGGUUGUUUACUAAUUAAAUCGUGACAAAAUUAAUAUUUCCAAAUAAAACCAGAUGAGAGUUUGAUUUGCAAAUGAUACAACUGUCCACUAUUUUAGGUCAAAGGUCAAGAGAGUGAAUAUCCUACAUGUCACAAUACCUGGACUGUAUCAGUA